rnacentral:lncRNA from 1 species
GCAUAACAAUCUCAUGCAGAAGAAUAUAAAUCCAGGUACUGCAAGGUAGCCUUGACUCUUGAUUCUUUCAGAUAUCAUUGGUUCCGGAGGCUGCUCAGAGCAGGCACCAGAGAGAAUGAAGACUGUCCUACUAUGUGCUCUCUUAGGGAUCUUUACUAUGUUAAUGGCUGAAGAAAAAAAAAAGAGUUUUGAUUUAUCUGAGUGAUCGCAAGUGUGUUAAGAAUGAGUUUUUGUGUGAAUUAUCAGAGAAUCCAAAACAGUUUAUAGUUUCUGAGACAAGAGAAUUUCUUGUGCUGGACACAGAUUAUGACACUUACGCCAUAAUGAAGCAUUCCUAUAAAGAAAAUGGGCAGAAGCGUUUUGAUUUGCAGUUUUUAUGUCGAAGCCUGUACAGAAUUAUUGAAGGUUAUAAGAUAUUAAAGAAAACCAGCGAACAAUUUGGGAUCUCCAAGAAGAAUGCAGUAAUUUUUAUUUAUGAUGGUAAAACUACCUUUACCUUUCCUGGGGGAAGAAUAAUCACUUACUGGGAAACCCUGGAGUCUUUUUAG